rnacentral:rRNA from 1 species
UACGUAGGGGGCGAGCGUUGUCCGGAUUCAUUGGGCGUAAAGAGCGCGUAGGCGGCCAUCCAAGUCGAUCGUGAAAGCUCGGGGCUCAACCCCGAGAUUGCGGUCGAUACUGUGUGGCUAGAGGCUGGUAGGGGGGUGUGGAAUUCCCGGUGUAGCGGUGGAAUGCGCAGAGAUGUGGAGGAAUACCGAUGGCGAAGGCAGCCCCCUGGGUCGAUACUGACGCUCAUGCACGAAAGCGUGGGGAGCAAACAGG